UAAUUAGCUUAUGUUAGCGCGAGACUUCCAUUUUAACAACACGCGCAUCAAGCAAAUCCACGCUUAAUCGAUUUUUACAGCACCUACUCCACCAUGUUUUAGUCGUGCCGCUCAGGAGAAAGACAGCUUGUGUAUGAGUCCCCAUAGGCUAUAAAAGGCACGCAUGCACAGAACCGGGCCGCUGUUGCACUGCACUUUAAGCGAGGACCUCGCGCGCUCUCGGUUUGUGUGCGUGCGUGUGUUUGUUUUCCUUUCUCCUGUAUGCAUUUUUCAUACCAUGGAGCUGAAGUGAAGGCAGAAUGCUUGGUGCUGUGUGUUUAGAACUGGACCGAAUCGGGACCGGCUCAGCGAGCUGCGCGCGCUCACUGGGUGACCCCCCCAAUGAAGGAAUGAUGAGUUCCGCGCGCGAGUCUCGAGAGCUUCAGCCCGCGCGGCCACUGCGGCACGGGAACGCGCGCGCGCGAGCUUCUGCUUCCUAUAACAGUGAAAUCGGCUUGGAAAGGCAGAGAAAGUCUUCCUCAAUCGGCUCGGACCACACCUGACACAUUCAUGGAGGAACUGAAGAUUCUCCUGAAGUGGUUUUUUGGCUGGUGUAAAACUUGAUAAAGAACAGACAUCCUCUACUCCAGGAUAAAAAGGGGCCAUUCUUCAACCUCGACACGUAGAAUCAUGCAAGAAAAACCUGAGGCCAUCACUUUAAGGUGCUGAAAUGACACGAUGACAAAUGCUUUGUUUAGACUAAUAGUUAAGGCCGGGCAUGUAAGAGGAGCCGAGUAUGAAAAUCGAAGCACAUAGGAGGUGAAUUUACAAAUGGACUUCUCACCCAUGACAGGGUUUUAAGUUUAAGGUGACGUAAACAAAUGAGCUCGUUCCCACAGAGACCACCAUAAAUUAAACACUCUUAAAUAGGGUGGAAAAUAGACCAGUCCACUGCAUUGAAUUUUUUUUUUUUUUUUUUUUUAGACAGUGGCCAAGCUCAGGAAGUAAUUUCUUGGAGACGCUUUUGACAUUUUCCUCCUUAAUCAUUUAUUAUGAUGAUGAUGAUGAACAUAAAUGGUGGAUUGGGCAUUGAUUUAGAAUUAUAAGAGAACAAAAAGUUUAGAAAACAAGCAUAGACCGUGACAUUUUACGGAAAACAGUGCUUUGUUUUCUAUUAAUUAAUAAACUACAAAUAAUUUAAUAAUCGUUGACAAUAGCUUAUAACGAAGGAUAGUCAAGAAAAACAAAAAUAUAUUUCACAUUACUGUUAAGAACUGAUUUAUAAGAAAAAAUGGCUAAUCAUUCAUAACAUUGUCUGAUGUAGUAAAAUCAUAGAUGCCUUUUUACUUUAAAUUAAAGUAAACAUCCACCAGGGAAUACUUUGACUACUACUACUACUACUACUACUAAUUAUAAUAAUGCAUGGUUUAACAGCUUUCACUGCGUAUAUUUUUAUUAUUAUAAGGAUCAUCAGACCAUGAGUAGCUGGAUUCCUCUAUGCGUUCGGCUCGCCUCUUGGCUCACUUGCAGUGUCCUUGGCUCUGUGACUAUAAAUCUAUGGACAUAAAAGCCUUCCAUUGCUGUAGGCACUAAUGAGAAGAGCGAAAGUUAAGCAUGUACACUGUACAACACUGUACUGUACAACUUCUUCUUUUGUGUCUUCAAAAAGCCAGCAUACAGGAAUGAGAAGAAGAACUUAGCUGUAAUAAAAAUGUAUAGUCUUUCCCGAGUGUAUUAAAGUGCUACCUUUGAUACCACCUUUGCUCAGUGUUGUGGACAUCUCGUACAGUCUAAUGCACAACCAUAGUGUGUGUGCGCGCGUAUGUGUGUGUGUGUGUAAAGCUCCAAGUGCAUGGUUGAGCACCUUAACAUACUUGAAGAAGAAGGCUAAGUGCUCAACUCUUCCACAUGACCAAGUUGCCCCUCCAUUGGCAGUUAUAUCGCUGAGAAAGUGACUCGGCUGUCCUUUUCUUCCACCAAGAACAUGGCGGUGUGUGUUCUGGAGGACCUUCGCCCACACACUGGUACAUGUAGAGCAGAAAGUACUUUUAGAGCAUGGCCCAUUUUUUUCACAUACGAAAAUGUAAUAUAUUGACCUAUACGAGUUUGAUAUAUGGUGCAAGUAUGAAAUCGGUGGUCUUUUUAUAUACAGGAUACAUUAGUGGUGUAUCCAGUAUUCAUUAGGUACACCUUGUCAGUACUGGGUUUGACCCCCAUUUACCUUAAUUCUACAUGGCGUACUGUAGAUUCAACAAUGUAUUAGAAACAUUUCUUAGAGAUUUUCCCCAGAUUGACAUGAGAGCAUCACACAGAUUUGUCAGCUGCACAUCCGUGAUGUGAAUCUCCCAUUCCACCACAUCCCAAAGGUGCUCUACUAGAUUGAGAUUUAGUGCCUGUGGAGGCCAUUUGAGUACAGUUCAAUAUAUUCAAGAGAUCAUGAUUUUAGCUUUAUGACAUAACAUGUUCAUCCUGCAGUCAUAAAGGGAUGGACAUGGUCAGCAACAAUACUUGGGUUGGCUGUGGUACUAAGGUGUGGCAAGAAAAUAUUCCCCACACCAUUAAACCUCCACCAGCUGCCUGAACUGAAGGAUGGAUCCAUGCUUUUAUCUUGUUCAUGCCAAAUUCUGACCCCACCAUCUGGAUGUUGCAGCAGAAAUCCAGACUCAGACAGGAGUGGCACCCGGUGUGCUCUUUUGCUGCUGGAGUCCGGCUGCUUCAAGGUUUGAUGUGUUCUAUCUUCAGAGAUGCUCUUUGGCAUACCUCGGGUGUAACAAGAUGUUAUUCGUGUUACUGUUGCCUUUCCAACCAGUCUGAUCAUUGUCCUCUGACCUCCAGCAUCAACAAGGCAUUAUCACCCAAAGAACUGCUGCUCACUGGAUUUUCUCUUUUUUCCAGACCAUCCUCUGUAAACCCUAGAGAAUGGUUGUGUAUAUUAAAAUCCCAGUAGAUCAGCAGUUUUGGAAAAAAUACUCAGACCGGCCUGUCUGGCACCCACUACCAUGACACGCUUAAAUCACUUUUCUUGCAUUGUCCAUGUCUACAUGCUUAAACGCAUUGAGUUGCCGACAUGUGAUUGGCUGAUCAGUUGAUUGUGUUAACAAGCAGUUAAACAGGUGUACAUGUUACAGAAGCCAAUCACAAUGAGAAAAGAGGAUAAAAGUUAUUAACAAAAAAAAAAAAAAACAUUUAUGUACUGUGUGUUGCGAUCAAAGAUCACAGUUAUUGCAGCUGGAGGAACUUCAAGCUAUCUAGUAAUAAAGAUUUAAGUUAAUGAUACAGUAAACAACAAAUUUAUAAAUUGAUGGCUUUGAUACCAUUUUUCUAUGGCUGUAGCAAUGGAUGCUGAAAAAGCUUGCAGCAUUUUUGUAAAAAAAAAAUUUUUUUUUAUAUUUAAAAAUGUUCUUGCUCUUGUCAUGAAAAAGUUUUCUUUUGUUGGGGAUUUCUUGUCUUGUGUAUAUAUAUAUUUUUUCUGUACAGCAAUUGUGAAUGAAAUGUGUUUGUGGUUAUAUUCAUAUAACAAAAUAAAAAUGUGCUCCAAAAUACU